GAUGAACGCUGGCGGCGUGCUUAACACAUGCAAGUCGAGCGGGUGAGUUCUUCGGAACGAUCUAGCGGCGGACGGGUGAGUAACACGUGGGCAACCUGCCUCAUAGAGGGGAAUAGCCUCCCGAAAGGGAGAUUAAUACCGCAUAACAUCGUUGAAGGGCAUCCUUCGAAGAUCAAAGGAGCAAUCCGCUAUGAGAUGGGCCCGCGGCGCAUUAGCUAGUUGGUGAGGUAACGGCUCACCAAGGCGACGAUGCGUGGCCGACCUGAGAGGGUGAUCGGCCACAUUGGGACUGAGACACGGCCCAGACUACUACGGGAGGCAGCAGUGGGGAAUAUUGCACAAUGGGGGAAACCCUGAUGCAGCAACGCCGCGUGAGUGAUGACGGCCUUCGGGUUGUAAAGCUCUGUCUUUGGGGACGAUAAUGACGGUACCCAAGGAGGAAGUCACGGCUAACUACGUGCCAGCCGCCGCGGUAA
rnacentral:rRNA from 1 species